rnacentral:rRNA from 1 species
GGACCCGACUGCUAUCAAAGUGGGACUACCCCAUGCGAGUCAACAUAGCAAUAUGUGGCAUACGGCUCAGUAACACGUAUUCAACAUGCCCAGGGGACGUGAAUAACCUCGGGAAACUGAGGAUAAACCGCGAUAGGUCAUCACUUCUGGAAUGGGUAAUGACUUAAACCUAUAUGGCCCCUGGAUUGGACUGCGGCCGAUCAGGCUGUUGGUGAGGUAAUGGCCCACCAAACCUGUAACCGGUACGGGCUCUGAGAGGAGGAGCCCGGAGAUGGGCACUGAGACAAGGGCCCAGGCCCUAUGGGGCGCACCAGGCGCGAAACCUCUGCAAUAGGCGAAAGCUUGACAGGGUUACUCUGAGUGAUUUCCGUUAAGGAGAUCUUUUGGCACCUCUAAAAAUGGUGCAAAAUAAGGGGUGGGCAAGUCUGGUGU